AUUGAACGCUGGCGGCAGGCCUAACACAUGCAAGUCGAAUGGUAACAGGAAACAGCUUGCUGUUUCGCUGACGAGUGGCGGACGGGUGAGUAAUGUCUGGGAAACUGCCUGAUGGAGGGGGAUAACUACUGGAAACGGUAGCUAAUACCGCAUAACGUCGCAAGACCAAAGAGGGGGACCUUCGGGCCUCUUGCCAUCAGAUGUGCCCAGAUGGGAUUAGCUAGUAGGUGGGGUAACGGCUCACCUAGGCGACGAUCCCUAGCUGGUCUGAGAGGAUGACCAGCCACACUGGAACUGAGACACGGUCCAGACUCCUACGGGAGGCAGCAGUGGGGAAUAUUGCACAAUGGGCGCAAGCCUGAUGCAGCCAUGUCGCGUGUAUGAAGAAGGCCUUCGGGUUGUAAAGUACUUUCAGCGGGGAGGAAGGGAGUAAAGUUAAUACCUUUGCUCAUUGACGUUACCCGCAGAAGAAGCACCGGCUAACUCCGUG
rnacentral:rRNA from 1 species